rnacentral:rRNA from 1 species
UGGGGAAUAUUGCACAAUGGGCGCAAGCCUGAUGCAGCCAUGCCGCGUGUAUGAAGAAGGCCUUCGGGUUGUAAAGUACUUUCAGCGGGGAGGAAGUGAGUAAAGUUAAUACCUUUGCUCAUUGACGUUACCCGCAGAAGAAGCACCGGCUAACUCCGUGCCAGCAGCCGCGGUAAUACGGAGGGUGCAAGCGUUAAUCGGAAUUACUGGGCGUAAAGCGCACGCAGGCGGUUUGUUAAGUCAGAUGUGAAAUCCCCGGGCUCAACCUGGGAACUGCAUCUGAUACUGGCAAGCUUGAGUCUCGUAGAGGGGGGUAGAAUUCCAGGUGUAGCGGUGAAAUGCGUAGAGAUCUGGAGGAAUACCGGUGGAGAAGGCGGCCGCCUGGACAAAGACUGACGCUCAGGUGCGAAAGCGUGGGGAGCAAACAGG